CCUACGGGAGGCAGCAGUGGGGAAUAUUGCACAAUGGGGGAAACCCUGAUGCAGCGACGCCGCGUGAGUGAAGAAGUAAUUCGUUAUGUAAAGCUCUAUCAGCAGGGAAGAACAUGACGGUACCUGAGUAAGAAGCCCCGGCUAACUACGUGCCAGCAGCCGCGGUAAUACGUAGGGGGCAAGCGUUAUCCGGAUGUACUGGGUGGAAAGGGAGCGUAGACGGCAGUGCAAGUCUGGAGUGAAAGGCGGGGGCUCAACCCCCGGACUGCUCUGGAAACUGUACGGCUGGAGUGCAGGAGAGGUAAGUGGAAUUCCUAGUGUAGCGGUGAAAUGCGUAGAUAUUAGGAGGAACAACAGUGGCGAAGGCGGCUUACUGGACUGUAACUGACGUUGAGGCGCGAAAGCGUGGGGAGCAAACAGGAUUAGAUACCCCUGUAGUC
rnacentral:rRNA from 1 species